GUAGUAUUCCCUUCGUCCCAAAAUUCUUGUCUUACAUUUGUUUAGAUACGGAUGUAUCAAACACUAAAAUGUAACUAGAUACAUCUGUAUUUAGACAAAUUUAAGACAAGAAUUUUGGGACGGAGGGAUUACAAA
rfam:Triticum aestivum genome assembly, contig: Triticum_aestivum_CS42_TGACv1_scaffold_576773_7BL